CUAACACUGUAUGCAAACAUGCAACAUCAUAACACACAGUACAAGGAGUCAGACAGGCAUAUGAGGAGCAAAGAAACCCACGCAGUAGCAUCGUUUCAAAAUGUUUCCAUCACCAUCAUCAGUGGAUGCCUUUGCCGUCCGUACCCUGAGAUUUCAGAUUUGCUGCAAAAAAUGUGACUUUCCCAUUUAUUGGAAUGCUGUGCAGCCAUCCAUUACAAUGUCACCAAGCCGUAACAAAAGCAGGAGAGGGAAAGUACAAGGCUAUGUUCCCAAAACACAAAAGUGACAUACUUUAUGUGGAUGAUGUGAUCAGGCUUGUGUUUGCUGAGGUAUUUGAAGAUAAGCUGAAGGAAACCCCGAUUCCAAUGGACCUGGCAUCACAGUUUGAGAGACCUUCAAAGGAGGACGUGAUUGCAUGCCAUCUUCAGUGCAGGGGUCGUCGGAAGCCAACAUUCCGAUCGGGAAGCUCCAAGCGUAUCUGGAGAACAACACACGACAGGAUGAUAACCCUAAAGUGUCAUCUUAGAUAGCAUCAGCUGACAAAGCUUUGAUAUGCCAUUUAUCUGAAUAGAUAGCUGUAAGAAGUGAAUUGAACAAUUUUUGAAAGAA